ACAUGCCUACAACAUAUCAUUAGUGCAGUGGAUCCCAUUAGAACUCUGCAGUUAAGCCUGCUCAGGCUAGAGUAGUUCUGGGAUAGGUUAUAUCCUAGGAAGUCUUAGUGUUUUACAUGCC
rfam:Picea glauca, whole genome shotgun sequence.